UACGGAGGGGUUAGCGUUGUUCGGAAUUACUGGGCGUAAAGCGAGCGCAGGCGGUUCCUUAAGUCUGAUGUGAAAGCCCACGGCUCAACCGUGGAAGGUCAUUGGAAACUGGGGAACUUGAGUGCAGAAGAGGAGAGUGGAAUUCCAUGUGUAGCGGUGAAAUGCGUAGAGAUAUGGAGGAACACCAGUGGCGAAGGCGGCUUCCUGGUCUGUAACUGACACUGAGGCGCGAAAGACGUGGGGAGCAAACAGGAUUAGAUACCCCGGUAGUCCCU
rnacentral:rRNA from 1 species